CUCGGAACUAAAAUUUGGAAUGGUAUCCCUAAUGAAUUACGGAACCGACGUAAAUGUAUUUUUAAAACAAAAAUAAAUGCAAUACUUUUGCAGGUCUUGGAAAGCGAUGAUGUUUAUGUUGAUGUCACUACGAUAAUAACAAAGAUAGAACAUAUAAGUUAUUAAAAAUAUUUUUCUUCCUAGGCCGUUAAUUAAUUGUUGUUUAUUUUCUUUUCUUUCUAUUUUGCACAAUAAUGUAUCUUUUCGAGACUGACUAUGUACUAUAAAAUAUAUAUUCUAAUCAACACUAUACUCGCCAAGAUUAGUUUUUAACUACUUGCGGGUUAGUGUAGUGUGUAACUUGUUUGUUUUUAACUUGUAAUAAAUUGAAUUGAAUUGAAAAAAUAACUCAUAAAAUAAACAAAUUACUUCAUGGUUGUUUCGCUUGUACGAUUUUUAUUAUGCACUCUUUGUGAAAAAUUCCUAUAAACUCACUCGUUGGCUGCACUGUAUAUAUCUGGCGAAGGUUGUGGCAUGCAACCGAAUGCGGUUGUGGCAUGCAACUGUGGCAUGCAGCGCUGUAUAUAUCUGACGAAGGUUGUGGCAUGCAAGCGAAAAUUUAAUGCACUAAUUAUAUUUAUAUUUUAC